GCCUUCUGUGUGCAGCUGUGUCAAAAGCCUUACUGAAAUCUAGGUAAGCAAUGUCUACUGCACCACCCUGAUCUAUUAUUUUAGUUACCCAAUCAAAAAAGUCAUUAAGAUUAAUUUGGCAUGAUCUCCCUGAAGUAAACCCAUGUUUCUCAGACUCGGUGGAUUUGGUCAGAUCCUUGCUACACAAGAUGAUCUUGUGAGUUUCCACCAGGAGAAUCUGAAAAGCC